CUGCUACGGACAAACACGGAAGGAAUGAUGUCUUCGAGCACACCUAUGGACAAUAAACAAUUCUGGGAUGCUUUUAAAAUGCGGGGGAGGGGAAAGGAAAACUGUUUAAAACUAAGUUGUAUGGAUUAGUUAUCAUCGCUGUAAACCACAGUUUCAACAUUUCAGCGCGUAAAGGUCGAGUUCAUCGCAUUGUUCACGAGGAGGCAAAACACAUAAGAACUUCGAUCAAGACUGCAACAAGGGUUUGAACGAUCUGACAGCACGUCUCUGAUUGGUCAUCAUAUCGAGAGGCAGUAACAAUGCAUCACCAUCAGAGUGACUCUGACUCCAGUGAUGACAGCAUGAAACAUCCUGCUUUUAUGACAUCCACAAUGGAAUCACAGAGACACCGGCGCAGUAUGGACAAACCGACUGAAGAGCUGUGAGAGAAUUGUGUUUUUAUGUUAUGUUAUUCACAUGAUUCGGAGAACAAGAAUAAUUGAGAGAGCUUGGCAUAAAUGGGGUUAAUUUAUUUAUUAUAAGGCAAUAUUAAUAAAAUCAUAUUAAUAAAAUGUAUUCAUUUUUGUAGCAUAAAGUGUCAAAAUAAACUAGAUAAUACGUAAAAUAUAAACAUUUGUAUUACAAAACACUGAUGUUUCUGUUUUAUUCACUCUAUAUCUGACAUUACUCAUCUCCAAGAAGAAUUUUACAGACUCCAUGAGGAAAUUUCUCCUGAAUGCAAAAAGCAUAUAAAGAAAAUGACUGAUGUCGUCAAUGAGUUUGAAAAAGAUUACAGACAUGCUUCUUGCCUCAUUGAUGCUGGAAUCGCUGGCUUGGUUUUAGGAUUAGCUUUAGCUGCAUUUACUGGAGGGGCUUCUCUCAUUGCCGGUGGAUUAGGGUUAGUUGUUGGGAUAGCUGCUGGUGGUGCUGCUGCAGGUGGUGGAAUUGCUUGUGGUAUUGGAGAAUUCAGUAAAAAUCAGCAGGAAAAGAUGACAAGACUAACCAUAGAAAAAGAACUUGAGGAAUUUCAGUAUAAAAUCAGCCCUAUUAUUAAAAUGGUAGUGAAGAUUUAUGCUCGUACUCAGGAAAUACUGAGAGACCCUACGCUAUCAGAGCACAAAGCCAAUGUACUACGUGAACGUUUCUCCUCCUGCUUUGAAAAAACACAGUUCUUCCAGAGAGAUAGCAGUAGAGCAGCGGGUGCACGGAAACAAUUGACUGGAGAUCUUUCAGAAACUUUUGCUGAGAUGAGUUCUGUGCUUACAAAUCUGGAAGAGAUCACCGAAGACAAAGAGGAGCAAGAUGACAAUGACAACCCUGAAGAAACACCCGCACAAAAACAAAUAGAGGACAAAGAGUUCAAGAAAAAAGCAGAGAAAUUCAUUGAUGAAAUGAAGAAAGGUAUUAAUCAGUUACAGAAUGUCAUGAAUGAAAUUGAUCAAACAAAACAAAGACUAUUAAAAAAAUGAAUCAAAUCUGAUGAAAUAAAACUAUGUGAACAGUUGAGACACAACUUGUUAUUUGAUCACAUGACAGAAAACAACAGUCCAUCUAACAACAUCUCAAUGUAUUGAAUGAUAUAAACAUCCAAUUAUCCUACAGUGAUUAAUGUAAUAAAAAUGUACCUGUUAAUUAUAUCAGGUCUAUCAGGUAUGUCAGAAUUAUACAGGAAAUAGCUAUACUGGAUGUGCAGAAACUUACACUGAUUACAUUGAUUUUGCUCUGCAUUAUUUUUUAUGUAUAUACUUUGCUUUAUUUUUAUUAUUAUUAUUUUUUAACUUUCAUUACGCUGAGAUGUAUUAAAAUGUACAUACAAAAAUAAAGUAAUUACAAACAGAAUAAAGUAAUUCUCUUUAAAUCUUAAUGGUCUUUUCUGGUUUAAUUAAUUGUAUUGAGUGUAGAUGUAUCACACUUAUGAAAUAUUAUCAUCCAUGUAGUACAUUUCAUUUUCAAAGUCCACUGGAUGACGCUCAAGAGCAGGUGAAAUGAACUCUGACCUCUGAUAUUUCUGAUUAUAGUCUCUUCAGUGAAUUCACAAAUCUCCUUCUGCUCCUGACUCUCCCUUCACUUACAGUAAAUUCAUCAUUAGUACUAAG
ensembl:lncRNA